GGCUACCUGGCGCAAUGGUAGCGCGUUUGGCUUCGAUCGCCACGCGGGCACCAAAAGGUUGCAAGUUCGAGUCUUGCGGUGGUCA
rfam:Dichomitus squalens LYAD-421 SS1 unplaced genomic scaffold DICSQscaffold_10, whole genome shotgun sequence.